CCUCUCACUGUUCUUUUCUCCUCUCUCGCCAUCUGGGCCCCCAUAGAGCCCCCGAAGAAAAAGCGCUCUGCAGUGUUGGACGGGAUCCUGGAGCAGCUGGAAGACAGUGAAAACGACCACGAGGAGCAAACCCUUCAGCUGUGAGCUGGCAGCAUGAGGGGUGCUGACCUACUCCUUACCUGCGUCUGGCCAGGGGACUGUGCACAGCCUGGAAUUCAGCCUCUGUGGCCUAUCCUCCAUGUGCAGCCACAAGCCCGGCUUCAUCAGCAGAGACGUCUUGUGGCUCUUGCAGUUCCAAGCCCCCCCACCAGGCUCAGGUUGAGCUGCAGUAUGUCACCAAAGGCAGCCAGCCACACUCUGUCGGGAGCUGGGGCCCUGUGACAGGUACCAAGGACCUCAUCCUGGUCAACAGCUCCUCCAGGCUUUAUCCUGACCGGGGACACCUGUGCUAUGCCCACGACAGCCCUGGACUCAGGACGGGGGCUGAUGCUGGCACCUGCCAGAGGGAAAAUGACAGAGGAGAACAAGACCACGUCCUUCACUCCUAAUCUUGAGUCCCAACACCACCCCCAGCGUGCCACCUCAUACCCAGGGUGGUCCUUUCAGUCUCGGUUGUCCUGUCUGUAAAAUGGGGUUAAUCAUUGUGUCUGCCUCAGCUACGCAGUGCUGGCGUUAAACUACUGAUGUCAGUCAACUCAGAAGACACUCGGUGGUGCCUCUGUUCGCUUCUGAAUUUAGGGUUGCCAUCUGGGGCUCUCAAGGGACAGCCAGGAAUCUUCAGCUUGGUGCAGAAAACUUGAUCUGUGUGUUUUCGUGGGGAUGAGACUCCAGUCCUCACCUGGUUUUCAGAGUGGCCUGGAUCCCAAGCUGGGCUACACAGCCCACUUCCUGUGGGGCAGGCGCACCUUACCAGUCCUAGCUCACCACUGAGGAUCAGGGAAGGACAAAGGCAAGUAGCUUGUUCAUAACCUCUCUAGUUCCCAGCCCUCGGGCAUGCACUGGUCUGUGGGGUCCAGGCUCUAGAGUCACCAUGGCCUUGGGCAUAACAGAGCCUAUGACCAUCCCUGUUCCAUCCAUGCCCAUCCUGCAGAGGGCACAUGGCUCCCAGCCAAGUGGCCUGAUACAGAAAGCGGCCAUCUCUGUCACUACCAUCACUGAUCAGGGUAACACAGGCGAUUAGAACCUCCAUGGCUGGAUCCACACCCUCUACAGCCUCCAGAGCUCAGGCAAGUGACUUAUCCCCAGCCUCAGGCUCACUGAAACGAGGGUGUGAAUGUCUGUCCCAUGCAGGGCAUUUGGGAGACCAGAUUGCUCCAGGCAUCUGUCCAGGGUCACGAUUUGAAGAUGUGAACCCGGUCCAUCUGACCCCAGAGUCUUGAGAACAGUGGGAGGGGGGAAAGGAAGGGGAGGAUCCAAAUGCUGACAGCCCCAGAGCUGUGUGGAAGUAGGGUGGCUGCCCACCCACCUAGUCCAGAAUUGGCUGGCAGGAGUCAGGAAAUCAGGGGGACUGUGUCGCCUUCCUCCCCAAGCCUGGCCCCUGUGUCCUGCCCUGGGGUCCUACUCUCUGGGUGGGGGGGCAGCGGCAGACCCACAAGGAGAUAGGAGGGUAGACAUGUCCUCUCAGGGUGCCAUCACCCCACCUUCGUGUCACACCACAGUAGACAUUCUGUUCAGGAAGCCUCUUGAUCUGGCUGGCUCUAUAGUUCACACCUGUCCAGGCCUCGCCCCAGCACCAAGGCCUGCCUGACCCUCCCUACUACUAACUGCCCCCGCCUGGGAUCUCCCCCGCCAUUUUCCUAUUGGGUUCCACUUUUGUCCCUUUUGAGAUCUAGUCCAGAUUCCACUGCCUCCAUUUGAAUUUGACUUCCCCUGACAGCUGAUCUGUAGGAGCGGUACAUCUACUUGGUGUGUAUAGAUAGUGAGUCACAGAGUAGGGCUGGAGGAGCCUUCUGGGAGGGGCCUUGGUCAUGAUGGCAGAGGCAUAGGACCCCAGCCGUGCGUAUCCACUCACCCAAAGAGGGAUGAGAGAGAGUGCAGAAGUGGGCCACGGAGGUUGACGCUGAGCAAGGCGUGGGGUGUGGACGAGCUGCCGGGUCUCAAUGGUGUAGACAGGUGUGGGUUCAGGAGAUGGGGUCGUCCAUCAGAUGUACAACCCCCAGCGUGUCAGGAGGUAGCCUGGAAGAGAAUUGUGACAAAAGCUGGACCAGAGUGAGUACCCAGGAGAGGAGAUACGGUGCCAGAAACCAAAGGGACAAAACAGAAGGCUUGUAGCCUUGGGGCCAGCCACCCCCCUGGGCUCAAGACUCAGGAGUGGGGCCUGGAUAGCAGAGGAUACAGAGACAGACCGACUCCAGAGCUGGGGCUGGAACCCAACCUGCUCGUUCACAUCCAUCCUCCUGGCACUGACCUCACGCCUGGCCCUGCACCUGCACUUACCAGGUCCACUGCUGUCAGGCCCCUGGUCAGGUUUACCCAGCAUGGACACCAGCAGCGUCUGGGCACUGGUGGAGGAGAAAAGCCAGUUCAUCCCUACCCCGGACUCUGUCCUGGAUGGCGGCCCCACUGAGGGUCCAGCCUGGGCUCUGGUACCUGGCCCACUCUCUUAAGUCCCUCCAGUGCCUGUUGACCUGAGUGUCUAAGCACUUCCGGCUCUUUUGUGGCAGUUGUCUGCCUGGCAUCCCUGCCAUGGAAGUGCCCGACAGAGCAAGGAAGAGAGGAGCCUGGCAAGGCCUGCCUGCUGGGGAUGGCGGAGAGGGAGGAGGCCCAGCCUGGAGGGAAAGUGCUACCCAUACACCCCGGAGGAGGGUCCUGCGUUUCCAACUCCAGGACAGCAGUCAGCCUGGUGGGUGUAGGGGAGAUGGUGGCUGGACAGGACUUUAAGGAAGGGCAAGCUAUAGUGAUGGUGGGGGCCCUGCUGGGGGUGGGGAGAGGGGCAGGCAUCCACAAGCCCUGAGCAGGCAUUCACCAGUCUGUCUCUCAGCCUCCUUUCCAUGUUUGCAAAUGGGUACAAGAAUUUUUGUCUCCUAGGAUUUAAAAAAUAAAUAAAUAAAUAGAUCGUGGGUGGAUAGCA
rnacentral:lncRNA from 1 species